CAGUAGCCGCGGGAAUACGAAGGGGGCUAGCGUUGUUCGGAUUUACUGGGCGUAAAGCGCACGUAUGCGGACAUUUAAGUCAGGGGUGAAAUCCCGGGGCUCAACCCCGGAACUGCCUUUGAUACUGGGUGUCUAGAGUAUGGAAGAGGUGAGUGGAAUUCCGAGUGUAGAGGUGAAAUUCGUAGAUAUUCGGAGGAACACCAGUGGCGAAGGCGGCUCACUGGUCCAUUACUGACGCUGAGGUGCGAAAGCGUGGGGAGCAAACAGGAUUAGAUACCCCAGUAGUCCCUGUCUCUUAUAC
rnacentral:rRNA from 1 species